rnacentral:rRNA from 1 species
ACUGAGUGGCGGACGGGUGAGUAACGCGUGGGCAACCUGCCCCAUACAGGGGGAUAACAGCCGGAAACGGCUGCUAAAACCGCAUAAGCGCACAAGGGCCGCAUGGCCUGGUGUGAAAAACUCCGGUGGUAUGGGAUGGGCCCGCGUCUGAUUAGCUAGUUGGCGGGGGAGAGGCCCACCAAGGCGACGAUCAGUAGCCGACCUGAGAGGGUGGCCGGCCACAUUGGGACUGAGACACGGCCCAAACUCCUACGGGAGGCAGCAG